AUUUGGAGAAAUACGUUUCUACUUAGUCUCACUGGGUCUGUCUUUUCUGUUUCCAAACUAUUGUGUACACUUAGAGGAAGAGUGGAAACCCUCCAGCAGGUCCUGUCAGUCUGCAGUUUACAAAUCUCCCCUCAGGAUAAGAGUUCCUAUUCACCCUUUUCAGGUCUCAGAAUUCUGCCUCCUCCUGACCACUUUUCCUUUAGUUAUUCAACCCAUCAAGUUCCCUGGGUUUGCAUGUGCAAUCGAUUCCUCGUUAGGGAUAUUCUUUCCUCUGGUUUUUCCUUCAGAUACGAGCUUACGUUCGACCUCUUCCAAGAAGACGUCAGGAAUGUCCUUCUGAAUGCCUUUCCUAGUUCUCAUGAGAACACAGCAGUUUUUAAUCAGGCAGAGCACUUAUUACAUUAUAAUUAUCUUCUUGGUUCCCAACUGAACUUUUAAGUUCCAAGUGGGCAGUCAGUAAAUAUUUCUUGGUGCAUCAAAUGCUCCACAUUUUACACAGUUAACGUUUGCUGCCUACAAACCAAUUUGGAUAGUUACUUUAAAGUAUCUUAUCUCUAGUUCUCAAAGCUUUAGUUUCCUUUAACACUUAAGUAUCUCUUGCAUAUUUUCUUUUCAAACACUGCUUCGUUAAUUUGCAAAUUCAUUGGACUCCUUUCCUUAAAAAUCAAAAUAAUAAAACUUCAAGAAAGCUGUUGUGACUUCUGGCCUCUCUGAAUGUCAGAUCUGUAAACAGGAAGGGCAGAACUCUGAUCUCUAAAAUCCUCUCCAGUCCACUACUCUGACCCUCUAACUUGAGCUUUCUCCAGAGAGGUUAAGUGACUUUUCCAAGGUCACGGAGCUUUUUAGCGGCAGGAGAUUUUUUUUGCCUGUCUAUAGAUUUUUAAAAGCUAGCCGUAAACAAAAACCAAAAAGUUUACCGAGGACACUGAGUGCCACUAACAAGUUUGUGUGAAAGAGAAUUCAUGAAGAAAUAGGAGACUUCAAACAAAACACUAAAAUCAACAACAACCAUAAUGGAUUCCUGCCUAGGCAGGUCGGGACAUUAAGAAAAAAAAAGGUCUCGCUGUGGUUUGCUAUUAGAUGGAGAGAUAUUCAGAUUUCAUUUUUAAAAUGAAAGUGAAAGAUUAAAGAAUUUUGGCAUCCUGACCCUUUGUAGAGGCCAUUCCUCAGAGGCACAGUGUGCAGACAAAACUAUCCUAGAGGUGCCAACCAGAACAAGCUCUAAUGUCUGUCUCAUUCCUGAGCCUUGGUGCCUUGACGAGUCACCACGCUCAGGAAGAAAGCUGCAACUCGCCAGGAUGAAACUGGGCCCCGCUUCUUAGAACCCUUCCCCGCUUCCUUCCCCUGCCAGAACCACACUAAAGAAUUCGCUGCUCUCAAAGACAGACGUUUUCAUUACUUCCUUACAUUAUAGAGUUUGGGCUUAGAUAACCAGUUGUAUGAGUAGUAAGUCAAACAGAAAUACAACAGCAAUAAUACUUAUUUCUUUCCCUAAUUGUAAUAUGUUGUACUUCAUAAGCCAUCAUAUGCAUUUGUUGCUUUUCCCCCUUCUACACUGACCAGUAGUUUUGCUUUGUUUGACAGAAAAGUAUAGUAAGAAGAAACUGAAUUUGAAGUGGAUUCUUACAAAGGAAAAAGAAAAUCACUAUUGUAACUAUACCAAAUUACUAUGUAUGUGAGCUCCCAGCUUUGACAUCAAGUCGUUACAGCCACGUAAUGGGAUUACGGGUGAUUUUUACUUUAUUCUUUGGGCUUCUCUGAAUUUUCCUAUAUUUUGAAAAAGCACCUGCAUUAUUUUGUAAUUAUAAAAAAGUAUAAAUAAGAAUUAUACACACUAUUAUUUCUUCACUGCUAUGACAUGACUAGAUUACAAUUUUUUUCUUUUUGAGAUGACUUUCGGUCUUGUUUCCCAGGCUGGAGUGCAGUGAGCGGAGAGGGCGCCACUGCACUCCCGUCUGGGCCAAUGAGAGUGAAACUCCAUCUCAAAAAAAAAAAAAGAUGAGCUCACACUGGGGAUGACGGGUGGAAGAAAGGCCAGCUGUAAUGAACUUGCUGGUUUUGGUAAAUUCAUUGCCUUACCCUUGGACCUGGUAUUGUUUGAGAAAAUAAAUUAUUUUGCCAUCUU
rnacentral:lncRNA from 1 species